AGGACUAUGGCAGACAGGAGAGGGUUCCACCAGCCUGCUGAAGGAGGAGACUUUGUUAAUGAGGAUGUGCAUGCAGAAAUUGUCAAGAUAGCCUCCAGAACCAGAAUGAUGAUGCAAGGGGGACAGUUCCCAAAGCAGUAACUCUGACCCAGGAUGCUGGGCAUGCUGGGGUGAAGGUAUAAGGCAAGGUUCAAAGCUACAUCUGGAACCAAGUGAAUCUGACGAUCUGGAAACUGUCAUGACUCUUAGCAUUUCCAUUCUACCAGCUAGGGGGUUUUUAGGAUCUCUCCAACCUGCCAUUGAGGUAAAUCCUGUGACUGCUUGCCUAGAGCAUGCAUUGCCUAAAGACGUUUACAGCCCAACCCAUCAGUCCAGUCCUUGAGACCAGAGGUCCCAUCUCCUAACAGAGGUCACCACCAUUCAAUAUGUGGAUGUGCACCCCUACCCUGGAGCUGCAGGAACCAAGGAAAGGAGGGAAGACUCCUAGUUUACAUCCCUUGAUAUGGUGAAAACAUCUGGGGAAGAAAGCUGGAAGAAAGAUUCAUCAUGCUCAGCCUCAGUGUCUGGAAUGGAUAACCUCUGAGAUUCCUUCCUCUUCAGACAUCCUAAGACACUAAGGUCCUGGGAAGGCUUCUGGCAGGUCCUAAACCAGGAGUGAGCAGCAGCUCACAAUCCCUGUAGUCUGGCUGCUUCUCAGGAAAAGUGGCCCCGCUGUCUAUUCUCUCCUGUUUAUGCAGGUUUAGCACUGUGCCCUGAUUUGAGAGUUCUUGGACACUGUUUCUUUGUUGGGAUAAUAACGAUCUUGACCCCCUCAGGUCAGUGGGAGCUAGUACAAGAGUCCACCUUGUGGACAGACUACCAGUAUGACAGGCACAGUGGCUCUAAUCCUGGUCCAUGUGGCAUUGUCCCCUUGGCUGACUGCCCUUCUCCCUCAGCUCCCGGCAUCAUCCCCAGGCCCCAUCUGAGCUGAGCACCUACCUAAAAGUGCAGCUGCCUGGCUCCGCCCUCCGAAGCUGCGGCUGAAGGAGCUGUGCCUGCUUGCAUAGGAGGCUGGCCGGCUAGGCAGCCAG